rnacentral:lncRNA from 1 species
AACUGGGGGCCUUCAAUAAGGGGGGGUCCCUGAGGAAACAAUGUUUGAUUUGACAUCAAUCCUUGAAAAAUAAUAUUUUCUUGUACAGAUAGCUUAUUUUUAUUGAUACAAAAUUGUGGUUUCUCACUAAUGUUAUAGAACUCACUUUUCUAAAUGUAGGCAGUUUAAGAAUAUAUUGAAUCUUUGGAUUACAAUUUCAUGUGGUAAGUUCAAAUACCUUUUUAAAUGUGAGAAACAGGAACAUAUUUUAGCAUAUAAUUAAACGUACUGAAUUCACAAAGAACCAGCAACUGGCUGGUACAAAAAAGAUUUUAUUGCUUAAAGACAAACAUAAAC